CAUCAUUUUUUCGUUUUGUCUUCUUCCUGGUAAGUUGUGCAAGCAAUCACAAGCAGUAGCAGCAGUGGCUCGGUGCUGGCCAUUCUUCUCCUCUGUUAGCAGUAGCAGAAACACAAAAGUUACAAUUAAGAGGAAAAUGGUGCUGCUGCCAUAGCCUACACCACACAGUUUAGAAGGACCAAAUCAUCAAAUUUAGUGUCUUGUUGGAGGAGUCAGCUUAUACCGCUGGUUUGAACAGGCGACUUGACGUGCAUGCAUCGAUCGCUCACUCGCUCGGCGAGAAACCUCUGCUCUGCCUCUGCACAAGGGGACAGACAAACCUCCGGGUCCAAGAGUCUGCUCGAUAUGCCCCUGAACCACUCCGGUUCCGCUGUAGGCUCCCUGUCGCGAGAAGAGCUCCACGGAUGUUGCUGCUGUAUUUGAGUGGAUCAGCUGGGAAGCGGACUCCAGCGUGUUGUGUGCCUGGACCGGAGAGAAAUCCCGGAAGAGAAACUGAACUUCUCUUUUCCUCUCCUAAAAAAACACAACACUACAAGGAAAUAGAAAUCUCUUCUGCAAUCCUUUUGCACAGGGAACCAUCCUCGCAUCAAAGAAUAAACUUACUUUUUUACACAAAAAUCACACUACAAAAAUAGCCACAGCUGGUUCUUGCCGCUGUUGUGCAGUGGGAUAGGAGGGGUUGAGGGGAGAAUUGCUCCGCGGUGCUGAUGCAGGUUGGCUAGCGGCAGGCGUCGGGGUUGGACUGACGGAGGGAGGCGCCCUCUGCUACAUGGGGGAUGCCCGGCGGUGUGGAGCUCCCGAUGAGUGCUUCCGGCGCGGGGAGGAUCUGGUGGCACGCGUCGUCGGGCCCUAGCAGAGCAGGGAGGAUGGCGGGGCACUAUUUCUAUGUAUUGAAGUAUCUGCAGGGAGGCGCCGGAUAAAUCUUGAAACAACUGGGGCUGGAUCGAACGGGGUCGUCGGGAAGCCUGGAGGUGGAGGCUCGCGGCGGCCCGGCCAGGAGGUGGAGCACGACGGCGCGUCUGCCGGGGAGGGAGGUGAGGGCGGCGGCGCGUCUGCCGGGGAGGGAGACGGAGGCAGCUGUGCUUCCGCCGCCGGAGGGAGGUGGGGGCGGCAGUGCUUGUUGCCGGGCAGGAAGGUGGUG
rnacentral:rRNA from 1 species